rnacentral:rRNA from 1 species
GACGAACACUGGCGGCGUGCCUAAUACAUGCAAGUCGAGCGCAGGAAACUGACGGAACUCUUCGGAGGGAAGGCAGUGGAAUGAGCGGCGGACGGGUGAGUAACACGUAAGGAACCUGCCUCAAGGAUUGGGAUAACUCCGAGGAAUCGGAGCUAAUACCGGAUAGUUCAACGGACCGCAUGGUCCGCUGAUGAAAGGCGCUCCGGCGUCACCUUGAGAUGGCCUUGCGGUGCAUUAGCUAGUUGGUGGGGUAACGGCCCACCAAGGCGACGAUGCAUAGCCGACCUGAGAGGGUGAUCGGCCACACUGGGACUGAGACACGGCCCAGACUCCUACGGGAGGCAGCAGUAGGGAAUCUUCCACAAUGGACGAAAGUCUGAUGGAGCAACGCCGCGUGAGUGAUGAAGGUUUUCGGAUCGUAAAACUCUGUUGUAAGGGAAGAACACGUACGAGAGGGAAUGCUCGUACCUUGACGGUACCUUACGAGAAAGCCACGGCUAACUACGUGCCAGCAGCCGCGGUAAGAC